rnacentral:SRP_RNA from 1 species
GCUGGGCAUGGUGAUAUGUGCAUGUAGUUCCACCCACUUCGGAGGCUGAUGCAGGAGGAUCACUUGGGCUCAGGAGCUCUGGGCUAUAAUGUACUGUGCGGAUUGGGUAUCUGCACUAAGUUCAACAUUGAUAUGGUGACUUCUUAGGAGUUGGGGGCCACCAGGUGGCCCAGGUUGGAAAUGGAGCAGGUCAGAACUCCUGUGCUGAUCAUUAGUGGGAUUAUGUGUGUGAAUAGCCACUGUACUCCAGCGUGGGCAANNNNNNNNNNNN